UACGUAGGGUGCGAGCGUUGUCCGGAAUUACUGGGCGUAAAGAGCUCGUAGGUGGUCUGUUACGUCUGCUGUGAAAUCCUAGGGCUUAACCCUGGGCCUGCAGUGGAUACGGGCAGACUAGAGGUAGGUAGGGGAGAAUGGAAUUCCCGGUGUAGCGGUGAAAUGCGCAGAUAUCGGGAGGAACACCGGUGGCGAAGGCGGUUCUCUGGGCCUUACCUGACACUGAGGAGCGAAAGCGUGGGGAGCGAACAGG
rnacentral:rRNA from 1 species